GUGAAUUCAUAAUAAAAAAUUUCUUCGUAGUUUGGUGCAUUUUCCUUUGAAUAUUUCUUAAUACCAGUUUUAUGAGCAUGACCAGAUAUUCGUACGAAAGCGCAAUAGCUCCCAGAUAAAUCCUUAAAAAAACUCAUUACAAGUUGAGUAAGCACCAUCCUCUAGCAGAAGUAGUCAUCAACACAUUCCAGGUUUGCCAUACAAUACCAGCGGAAAUGAUUGGGCCAGAAAUAAAAAUAGCAACCCUCGUACACCACAUUAGCAAAUUUUAUACAUUUUUCGAUGUUACAAUGAAAUAUAUUAUACAAAA